rnacentral:tRNA from 1 species
GCCCUCGUAGCUCAGGGGAUAGAGCGUCUGCCUCCGGAGCAGAAGGCCGCAGGUUCGAAUCCUGCCGAGGGCACCG